AUAUCCUGGAUGGUGGAACUCAGAUGUCGCCCAAUUGGCCCUUCCCCUACACCAGCCUACCCGCCCCACCCCCUCCAUUCCUGGCCCUCGAUGACAACAGCGAACCAUUACUGCAAGGGUCCUGAGAGCUGACCUGGGGCUGUCGCAGUGACGGCUGGAGGAGGACACGCCGCCGCCGCACGUCCGGCUGCAGUCGCCCCACGGGGUCCACGGGCCCCAGGCCCCGUCCACGCCCUCCGGCCGCGACCCGAAGGGGACGCACACGCGCUUGUAGCACCACUACGGCAGGUGUUGGGGAGAGGAAGCGGGAAGUGAGUCCUGCUUGGACCUGGAGGGUCCCCGGGACCACGCGUUCCCCCGGCCCAUGUCCUGGAGUCCUCCCCGCCCCUCACCGCGUGAUGAGCACUGCUGUGUCGUGGUUGGCCACACCGUUCUCCGGAAUGGCAUUGCCAUGGCCACUGCGAUUCACGAUGGAUUUCUGCCACUUGCAGAAGCUGUCCAGGGACUUCCCGGCAUGGUGGGUGAUCUCCAGGGUCGGCUGCAGACAGACAGGGGGGCAUGGGGGCCAGCCACCCCUUGGGAGGGGGUUGGGCAGGGGGAGGGGGAGACAGGCAGCGCUGGUGUGUGUGUGGGGGGGCAGGUGCGGGGGCAGGUGCGGGGAAGGGGCCCUCGCACCUGGUCCUCCGUGAGCAGGAUGAGGCGUGUCACCAGGAUAUUAACGAUGUUUCCCAGACUUGAGUCCUGGAAAAGUUUGGCAACCUGACCUCCAAGAAACAAGAGAGACCGAGUCUUAAGAGGGGCCCAGAGCAGGAGACAAAAGGCAAAACGGCAGUAGCCCUCCUUCCCCAACAGGUGCCUGCGCAGCCUCAACCGCGUGCCCGGGGCUCUUUGGAACGCUAUCCCGACUCACUGCGACUGCCUGAGCCUUCCGGAGGAGCCUGGCCAAGUCUGAGAGUUGAUCUCCAAACAGGGCAGUUCAGCACACGAGGGAGGGAGCCAGGUUUUCAACAAGAUGCAGACUUAGAAGCUGACAUUACCCGCUUCUGCUUGGACCCCUCCAGGGACGGGGAGCUCACUCCAAGACACUCUGUGACCCUACUGGUCCCUUCAGCUGGGCUAAUGAUUAUCCCUUGUUUUUUGGUUUGUUUUUACCUUUUGGGGGUGGCAGUGGGCGGCCUGGGGUCGGACACCUGUGCGUGAGCCCCUCUGUGCCUCAGCCUCUGCGUUAGUGCCUAGACAGGGAGGGGCAGGGAGGAGGAGCUGGCCUGGGUCUGAAGUUCAGGGGCGGCUGAGAAUACUCUGCCCUUCCCCCUGACCCUGACAAGCCUCCUCUUGGAUUUCAUCCUCCCUCAGCUCCUGGGCCCCCACCAAACUCCCUCCUCCCCCACUGCUCCUCCCCCUGCCCUGAUCUCCUCUUGCCUCCUCUCCUGUAUUCCAUCCUGGAGACCUUGACCGGUUCUGAUUAAACCCCUUCCUGGUCAGUUCCCCCGA